UACGUAGGCAGCGAGCGUUGUUCGGAGUUACUGGGCGUAAAGAGUGCGUAGGCGGUUUUCUAAGUUUGGUGUGAAAUCUCCCGGCUUAACUGGGAGGGUGCGCCGAAAACUGGAAGGCCUGAGUAUGGGAGAGGUAAGCGGAAUUCCUGGUGUAGCGGUGAAAUGCGUAGAUAUCAGGAGGAACACCUGCGGUGUAGACGGCUUACUGGACCAUAACUGACGCUGAGGCACGAAAGCGUGGGUAGCAAACAGG
rnacentral:rRNA from 1 species